AGAAUUUCACCCGAUCGCAUCUGCACCCAGCUCAGGCAUUUCUGACGUCAUUUUCUUGAGGUAUUUGCUAUUUCGACGCACUCCGGGGGAGCUGCUGGUACUUCACCAGGAGAGCGCAGUAAAGUGGGUAAGAAGUUAAGACUCUGACCUUCGGCAUGUUAGGAUGGAUCGUAGCCACCUUCUUGCUUCCCAGCGCAGGAGCCUGGCACACAGGGAGCUGCUUUCCCUCCCAGAUGCAGCUAGCACGGCGAUGGGAGCAUAAAAUCUUGCUGCGGUCCUGCUUCUGAUGCACACCCACCCCCAGAUCCCGCAGGUGACUCAUUCUCUUCUACUGUGCGGAAGAAAAAUACAGCAAUUAAUAAAAAAACCUAAACAAAACCCACACAGGCCAUGCCUUCAGGCACAACGAAAUUGAAUUCCUCCGGCAAACGAAACCGGAGGAGCGGCUGAACCAACAAAGCUCCGGAGAGCGCGGCCGGGAGCGUGUCUGCGUAAUGUGGCAACCCGACCGCGUUUCCAGGGAAGUCCGAAGGGCCCAGAUAUAGGUCGCCUGAGGUUUGGUGUUGCUAUUUCGGUCUUCUCAUCUGCUCUCGUGAGUUCUGGCAGUUACUAAAGACAGUGACAGCUGGUUCCUCCUCCCCCCCCCAUUUUCUCCACCCCCGAGCCUAGAAAUCACCCCUCUCUGUGCAAAGCACCGUCAUCUCUGUAUCGGGAUCGCUGGGAUGCGCUUUUAGCCACGGGACAGGAUCCACCGGUCACUUCAGCAAGUGAUGUCCAGCUUUGGAGGAUGGGAAGCUGCAGCAAUUCGUGUAAGCCACAUUAGCAAUCAUCAUCUGACUGUCACCACGGGCUCUCUGCUCCCUGCAAACCACGAAGAGGCAGGGAAGUCCCGACCCCAAAUUGCCACACACCCUUUGUGCAACGUGGGGGGAGCAGCUGAAGGUGGCAAAAUUAACUGUAUCAAGUGCUUCCCUCUGAUUGCAGGGGCCGGACUUGGUAAGCCAGGGCUUUUAGGGCUGUUUUUUUUCUGAAUUAUUAGUUAAAGAAAGCGUAUAAGCAGGAUUCAAAACAAUUGCAAGGAAUUCAUGUAACCCAUCACCCUGAGACUUGCCGGCCUGUGUUACUACAGAGGAAGAUAAAAGAAACCCCUGCAUAAGAGUUGUGGAUCACAAAGAAAUUUCCCUCCUGAGCCCUGUUAGCCGGAGAUUUUGUUUUGAAGCAAGAAGGUUUCUAUCCUCUCCAAAACUUUAUUUUUUUUUUUUUGCCAUCCUUAGUAUUACGCAUCUGCGCAACCUUUUCUAAAACUUGCCAAACCACGAGCAUCAAUUCUUGUCCAGUGGAAAGGAGUUCAAUAGACAGCAAUGCAUGCUGCAGAAAAACCCUCUUUUACCCAAUUACGAUGACAACAGGUCAUUAUUACAAGCAAAUACAGGGAAAAGGUGACUCGU